ACUUUCUUCUCCGCCUAGGGCAUGGUCCUUUUCAUUAUCACCCUUCAAAUACGCCAUCGUCCCCGUCACGUUGCCGGACCUCCAUUGAUCACCAACACUGCAGAAGAAGUUGAGUGAAGAUGACAAUGAGUCAAAUGAAAACUAUAGAGUUCGAUGAAGGCUGGAAUUUCAUGCAAACAGGCAUCGCAAAAUUGAAAAAUAUUUUGGAAGGGGUUCCAGACACACAAUUUACCUCUGAAGAGUAUAUGAUGCUUUAUACCACGAUAUAUAACAUGUGCACCCAGAAGCCGCCUCAUGAUUAUUCUCAGCAGCUAUAUGAUACGUACAGGGAAGCU